rnacentral:rRNA from 1 species
AUACGUAGGGGGCGAGCGUUGUCCGGAAUGAUUGGGCGUAAAGGGCGCGUAGGCGGCCCGGUAAGUCUGGAGUGAAAGUCCUGUUUUUAAGAUGGGAAUUGCUUUGGAUACUGUCGGGCUUGAGUGCAGGAGAGGUAAGUGGAAUUCCCAGUGUAGCGGUGAAAUGCGUAGAGAUUGGGAGGAACACCAGUGGCGAAGGCGACUUACUGGACUGUAACUGACGCUGAGGCGCGAGAGUGUGGGGAGCAAACAGGAUUAGAUACCCUGGUAGUCCACACUGUAAACGAUGAAUGCUAGGUGUAGGGGGUAUCGACCCCUUCUGUGCCGCAGUCAACACAAUAAGCAUUCCGCCUGGGGAGUACGGCCGCAAGGUUGAAACUCAAAGGAAUUGACGGGG